rnacentral:rRNA from 1 species
AAAUGAAUAGACGGGGGCCCGCACAAGCAGUGGAGCGUGUGGUUUAAUUCGACGCAACGCGCAGAACCUUACCAGGGCUUGACAUCAUGGUGACAGCCGUAGAAAUACGGUUUUCCGUAGCGAUACGGACAGCAUGACAGGUGUUGCAUGGUUGUCGUCAGCUCGUGUCGUGAGAUGUUGGGUUAAGUCCCGCAACGAGCGCAACCCCUAUCUAGUGUUGCAAACGGGUAGAGCCGAGCACUCACAAGAGACUGCCGGAGACGAUCCGGAGGAAGGUGGGGAUGACGUCAAAUCAUCAUGGCCCUUAUGCCCUGGGCCACACACGCGCUACAAUGGCCGGUACAACGGGCAGCGAAGGAGCGAUCCGGAGCGAAUCCCUUAAAGCCGGUCUCAGUUGGGAUCGCAGGCUGCAACUCGCCUGCGUGAACAUGGAAUUGCUAGUAAUCGCGGAUCAGCUACGCCGCGGUGAAUACGUUCCCGGGCCUUGUACACACCGCCCGU